AUGACUUUGAUCUCCGUCCUCAUCUGGACUCUCCUCUGCUGCUGCUUCACAGAGUCCAGAGGCCAGGUCACAGUGACUCAGUCUGCAGCAGUGAGAUCUGCUCUGGGAGGAUCCGUCUCCAUCAGCUGUAAAACUGAUCGUGCUGUGUACAAUGACUUCGUCUUAUCCUGGUACCACCAGAGAGAUGGUGAAACUCCUGAACUCCUCUUUUACUGGACGAAUAAUCGCGUGUCAGGAACCCCAGAUCGUUUUACAGGCAGUGGCACAAAGACUGACUUCACUCUGACCAUCAGUGGAGUUCAGGCUGAAGAUGCAGCAGUUUAUUACUGUCAGAGUACACAGUAUAUCAACAGAGAGUGGCGGGGAACGUUCGGUGGAGGAACCAGACUGGAUGUUGGAAGUGAUGUCCGUCCCACCCUGACGGUGCUGCCCCCCUCCAGCGAGGAGCUGCAGCAGGGGAAGGCCACGCUCAUGUGUCUGGCCAACGACGGCUUCCCCUCAGACUGGAGUCUGGCCUGGAAGGUGGACGGCAGCAGCAGCAGCAGCUUGGAGCAGAGCAGGAGCCCCGGGGUGCUGCAGAAGGACGGCCGCUACAGCUGGAGCAGCACCCUGAGGCUCCCUGCAGACCAGUGGAGGAAGGUGGUCUCUGUGACCUGUGAGGCCACCCAGGGCUCCCAGACUCCAGUCUCAGAGACACUGAGGAGAGACCAGUGUUCCCAGUCCUGA